rnacentral:rRNA from 1 species
AUUGAACGCUGGCGGCAUGCUUUACACAUGCAAGUCGAACGGCAACAGGCCUUAGGGUGCUGCCGAGUGGCGAACGGGUGAGUAAUGCAUCGGAAUGUACCCAGAGGUGGGGGAUAACGCAGCGAAAGCUGUGCUAAUACCGCAUGUGAUCUUAGGCUGAAAGCGGGGGACCGAGCAGCAAUGUUUGGCCUCGCGCCUUUGGAGCGGCCGAUGUCGGAUUAGCUAGUUGGUGGGGUAAAGGCCUACCAAGGCGACGAUCCGUAGCUGGUCUGAGAGGAAGAUCCGCCACACUGGGACUGAGACACGGCCCAGACUCCUACGGGAGGCAGCAGUGGGGAAUUUUGGACAAUGGGCGCAAGCCUGAUCCAGCAAUGCCGCGUGCGUGAAGAAGGCCUUCGGGUUGUAAAGCGCUUUUGGCAGGAACGAAACGGUGUCCGCUAAUACCGAGCGCUAAUGACGGUACCUGAAGAAUAAGCACCGGCUAACUACGUG